CCCUCGAUAGCUCAGUUGGCAGAGCGGAGGACUGUAGAUGUUACAACAGUGAUCCUUAGGUUGCUGGUUCAAAUCCGGCUCGAGGGA